GACGAACGCUGGCGGCGUGCUUAACACAUGCAAGUCGAACGGAAAGGCCCUGCUUUUGUGGGGUGCUCGAGUGGCGAACGGGUGAGUAACACGUGAGUAACCUGCCCUUGACUUUGGGAUAACUUCAGGAAACUGGGGCUAAUACCGGAUAGGAGCUCCUGCUGCAUGGUGGGGGUUGGAAAGUUUCGGCGGUUGGGGAUGGACUCGCGGCUUAUCAGCUUGUUGGUGGGGUAGUGGCUUACCAAGGCUUUGACGGGUAGCCGGCCUGAGAGGGUGACCGGCCACAUUGGGACGGAGAUACGGCACAGACUCCUACGGGAGGCAGCAGUGGGGAAUAUUGCACAAUGGGAGGAAGCCUGAUGCAGCAACGCCGCGUGCGGGAUGACGGCCUUCGGGUUGUAAACCGCUUUCGCCUGUGACGAAGCGUGAGUGACGGUAAUGGGUAAAGAAGCACCGGCUAACUACGUG
rnacentral:rRNA from 1 species